rnacentral:rRNA from 1 species
UUUUCCUACGGGGGGCAGCAGUGAGGAAUAUUGGUCAAUGGGCGGGAGCCUGAACCAGCCAAGUCGCGUGAGGGAUGACGGCCCUACGGGUUGUAAACCUCUUUUACCGGGGAGCAAAUCGCGCCACGCGUGGCGCGUGAGAGAGUACCCGGGGAAAAAGCAUCGGCUAACUCCGUGCCAGCAGCCGCGGUAAUACGGAGGAUGCGAGCGUUAUCCGGAUUUAUUGGGUUUAAAGGGUGCGUAGGCGGGGCGACAAGUAGGCGGUCAAAUGUCGGGGCUCAACCCCGGCCUGCCUGCGAAACUGC